AUCCGAUUGAUGAGUCCCAAAUAGGACGAAAUUAGAGUCCUAGAU
rfam:Schistosoma haematobium scaffold204_38, whole genome shotgun sequence.